rnacentral:rRNA from 1 species
AGCGAACGCUGGCGGCAGGCCUAACACAUGCAAGUCGAACGAACCUUUCGGGGUUAGUGGCGGACGGGUGAGUAACACGUGGGAACGUGCCUUUAGGUUCGGAAUAACUCAGGGAAACUUGUGCUAAUACCGAAUGUGCCCUUCGGGGGAAAGAUUAAUCGCCUUUAGAGCGGCCCGCGUCUGAUUAGCUAGUUGGUUGAGGUAAUGGCUCACCAAGGCGACGAUCAGUAGCUGGUCUGAGAGGAUGAUCAGCCACAUUGGGACUGAGACACGGACCAAACUCCUACGGGAGGCAGCAGGGGGGAGUCUGACGCAAUGGAGGAGAGCCUGACGCGGCCAUGCCGCGUGAAUGAUGAUGGUCUUAGGAGGGUAAAAUUCUUUCACCGGGGACGAUAAUGACGGUACCCGAAGAAGAAGCCCCGGCUAACUUCGUG